GUGCUUGCUCAGGCAGCACAUAUGAAAAAUUGGAAUCGAUACAGAGAAGAUUAGCAUGGCCCCUGCGAAAGGAUGACACGCAAUUUCGUGAAGCGUUUCCACAUUUU
rnacentral:snRNA from 1 species